rnacentral:rRNA from 1 species
CAGUAGCCGCGGGAAUACGUAGGUCCCGAGCGUUGUCCGGAUUUAUUGGGCGUAAAGGGAGCGUAGGCGGUUUAGUAAGUCUGAAGUUAAAGGCAUUGGCUCAACCAAUGUAUGCUUUGGAAACUGUUAGACUUGAGUGCAGAAGGGGAGAGUGGAAUUCCAUGUGUAGCGGUGAAAUGCGUAGAUAUAUGGAGGAACACCGGUGGCGAAAGCGGCUCUCUGGUCUGUCACUGACGCUGAGGCUCGAAAGCGUGGGGAGCGAACAGGAUUAGAUACCCCCGUAGUCCCUGUCUCUUAUACA